rnacentral:rRNA from 1 species
GUCGAGAAUCUUUCACAAUGGGGGCAACCCUGAUGGAGCGACGCCGCGUGGAGGAUAAGGUCUUCGGAUUGUAAACUCCUGUCAUGCGUGAACAAGGUUGCUUGGUUAAUACCUGGGCAAAUUGAUGGUAACGCAAGAGGAAGAGACGGCUAACUCUGUGCCAGCAGCCGCGGUAAUACAGAGGUCUCAAGCGUUGUUCGGAAUCACUGGGCGUAAAGGGUGCGUAGGUGGCGUGGUAAGUCAGAUGUGAAAGCCCGGGGCUCAACCACGGAACUGCAGCCGAUACUGCCAUGCUAGAGUACUGGAGAGGUGACUAGAAUUCUCGGUGUAGCAGUGAAAUGCGUAGAUAUCGAGAGGAAUACCAAAGGCGUAGGCAGGUCACUGGACAGUUACUGACACUGAGGCACGAAGGCCAGGGGAGCGAACGGGAUUAGAAACCCGGGUAGUCC